GAUGAACGCUGGCGGCGUGCCUAAUACAUGCAAGUCGAGCGAACAGACGCGGAGCUUGCUCCUCUGACGUUAGCGGCGGACGGGUGAGUAACACGUGGAUAACCUACCUAUAAGACUGGGAUAACUUCGGGAAACCGGAGCUAAUACCGGAUAAUAUAUUGAACCGCAUGGUUCAAUAGUGAAAGACGGUUUUGCUGUCACUUAUAGAUGGAUCUGCGCCGCAUUAGCUAGUUGGUAAGGUAACGGCUUACCAAGGCAACGAUGCGUAGCCGACCUGAGAGGGUGAUCGGCCACACUGGAACUGAGACACGGUCCAGACUCCUACGGGAGGCAGCAGUAGGGAAUCUUCCGCAAUGGGCGAAAGCUUGACGGAGCAACGCCGCGUGAGUGAUGAAGGUCUUCGGAGCGUAAAACUCUGUUAUUAGGGAAGAACAAAUGUGUAAGUAACUAUGCACGGCUUGACGGUACCUAAUCAGAAAGCCACGGCUAACUACGUG
rnacentral:rRNA from 1 species